rnacentral:rRNA from 1 species
AGUGAACGCUGGCGGUAGGCCUAACACAUGCAAGUCGAACGGCAGCACAGUAAGAGCUUGCUCUUACGGGUGGCGAGUGGCGGACGGGUGAGGAAUACAUCGGAAUCUACUUUUUCGUGGGGGAUAACGUAGGGAAACUUACGCUAAUACAGCAUACGAACUACGGGUGAAAGCAGGGGAUCUUCGGACCUUGCGCGAUUGAAUGAGCCGAUGUCGGAUUAGCUAGUUGGCGGGGUAAAGGCCAACCAAGGCGACGAUCCGUAGCUGGUCUGAGAGGAUGAUCAGCCACACUGGAACUGAGACACGGUCCAGACUCCUACGGGAGGCAGCAGUGGGGAAUAUUGGACAAUGGGCGCAAGCCUGAUCCAGCCAUACCGCGUGGGUGAAGAAGGCCUUCGGGUUGUAAAGCCCUUUUGUUGGGAAAGAAAAGCAGCAGGUUAAUACCCCGCUGUUCUGACGGUACCCAAAGAAUAAGCACCGGCUAACUUCGUG